rnacentral:misc_RNA from 1 species
UGGACAUGCGUUUCUGGAUAAUGGUUGGUUUUGGUAAACUUCCAAAGUACCAUCAGGAUCCUACAACAGAAGAGUUAGCCAAAACACUCGACUGUUGGCCUUCAUUGAACUAUUAUAUCACUGUUUGUAAAUAUGUUCUUAUGCCAUGGAAAUUCAAUGGAUGCUACGCACUUUUCGUAAUCGAUCAUGGUAAAAAGCACGUAACUUUUAUAGACUUUACACCCACUCAAGAUUGGUGUAAACACAUGCCAUACAAGAGGUUUGCGGAAGCAAUUAUCAUGGCCUCAAAGAAAUAUAAGAUUGCCUACAACAAGAAACAUUUUGGAUGGGCAGAUGAUAUUUUUAAGUGGGAACAUACAAUUCGGUCUGGUGUUCCAAUUGACUUAAAAGGGUAUUUUCUCAAUACCAUGUUCUCAAC